GAUGAACGCUAGCGGCAGGCCUAAUACAUGCAAGUCGAACGGUAAGUAGAGUAGCAAUACUUUGCCUAGAGUGACGUACGGGUGCGGUAACACGUAUGCAACCUACCUAUAACAGGAGGAUAGCUCGGGGAAACUCGAAUUAACCCUCCAUAAUAUAAUUGAAUGGCAUCAUUUGAUUAUUAAAACUCCGGUGGUUAUAGAUGGGCAUGCGUCUGAUUAGUUAGUUGGCGGGGUAAAGGCCCACCAAGACGAUGAUCAGUAGGGGAACUGAGAGGUUGAUCCCCCACACUGGCACUGAGAUACGGGCCAGACUCCUACGGGAGGCAGCAGUAGGGAAUAUUGGUCAAUGGAUGCAAGUCUGAACCAGCCAUGCCGCGUGCAGGAAGAAGGCCUUUCGUGGGUUGUAAACUGCUUUUGUCAGGGGAUAAAAAAGCCAUGCGUGGCAAAUUGAAGGUACCUGAUGAAUAAGCCACGGCUAACUACGUGCCAGCAGCCGCGGUAAUC
rnacentral:rRNA from 1 species